rnacentral:rRNA from 1 species
GACGAACGCUGGCGGCGUGCUUAACACAUGCAAGUCGAACGGAAAGGCCCUGCUUGUUUGUGGUGCUCGAGUGGCGAACGGGUGAGUAACACGUAAGUAACCUGCCCUUGACGUUGGGAUAACUUCAGGAAACUGGGGCUAAUACCGGAUAGGAGCUCCUGCUGCAUGGUGGGGGUUGGAAAGUUUCGGCUGUUGGGGAUGGACUCGCGGCUUAUCAGCUUGUUGGUGGGGUAGUUGCUUACCAAGGCUUAGGCGGGUCGCCGGCAUGAGAGGGUGACCGGCGACCUGGGGACUGAGAGACGGACCAGACUGCUACGGGGGGCAGCAGGGGGGAAUAUUGCACAAUGGGCGGAAGCCUGAGGCAGCAACGCCGGGUGCGGGAUGACGGCCUUCGGGUUGUGAACCGCUUUCGCCUGUGACGAAGCGUGAGUGACGGUAAUGGGUAAAGAAGCACCGGCUAACUACGUG